GUCCUGCCUGUGAUGCCCUGUUCCAGGACGGUUGCUGAAGAAUCAAUUGCACAGAUAGCAAACAGCAGCCAGAGCCCCACCAUGCCGUCCCUGGCCCCCACCGGCCCCAGGCUCUGACCUUGAUCCAGCCAUCCUGGCCACGCCCCUUGGCCUGCAGCCACUCCCAACACAGGCUGCUCCCCAGCCCCCACUGUGUGCCUGCCCCAGGAAGGUCCCCAGCACUCUCCAUCCCCUCAUUCAGCAACUGCCCUCACCUCCUGGGUUCACGCCCUUGGGUGACUCUCCCUGUGGGCAGUGCCUGUGACUCGAGCUACACUGUCCUGGGGAAGGCUGAAGCCAUGCUGGGAGCCACACAUGGUGAAGAGCCUGAGCCCCCAGAACUGUGUCCUACAGAUUCCAGGAAAUUCUUCCAGCAAUCCCAGAGCUCCGGGAAGCAAAUCCCUCCCUGUCCCAGAUGAGACCUCAUCUGUGGCAACCUUGACCGAAGCCUGAGAACCUUGCAGGACCAGGACCAGCUCCGACUACUGACUGACAAAGUCCUGAGACGAGAAUUGCUGUUCCGAGUUGCAAGACUUGUGGCAGUUUGUGGCACAGCAGGAAAAUACUAACACUCAAUUACUUACUUUUUUGUUGUUUUUUUGGUACCAGGGAUCGAACUCAGGACCUUGCAUUUGCAAGACAGGCGCGGCGCCACUGAGCUAAAUCCCCAGCCUUCAUUUACUUACUUUUGAGGUUCGUUUUCUGUUCUCUGACCUGUCCUGGUAGACUGCAUUUUCCAAAGAUGCUAGGAUACAUGCUCUUCCUCGGUGUGACCUGCAUAAGGAAGUAAGUGUCUCUGCCCCGCUACCUGACCGGGAGGACAGGAGCAGCUUCUGACGCACUUCUGCCUUGCUCUCUAGAUAUUCAUCCAGGAUCCAGGAGGUGCCAUGGUGGGAGGAAGCUACAGGAGCAGUCCAGAGCCUGCCUGUCCCACAGGCUUGGCCAUGCCGUGCCAUGCCAUGGCUCUCCACCCCAACCACUGGUCCUCCCAGCUGUCCCCAGAUUCCCAGAACAGAUUCCCCCCUUGGAUAACCCAUGCUGUAUUAGGCUACCAAGCUCCAGCAGCUUGUUCCUCAUCAAGGGAUCUCUAGCCACCUAUCUGGCAGAAUCACAGGCAGCCUGGCACACAGUAGGUACUCAGUAAAGGUUUGUGGAGUACAUUUAAUCACCAAGCCACAUGCGUAGUCCCCAUGGAGUUCUGCGAGUGCAGGAAGUAGAUGUGAGAAGCCCUAGGAAGGUGUUGGGUACUUGGGAAUCAGCUUCAGUGUGCUGCUUCUGGCAGGAUACCCCCAACACACACACACACACACACACACACACUCACUCACUCACUGCCCCAACUCCCUACCAAGGCCUGACAGGAAUACUCCCUGGUCCUCCAGGGGCCAUCCAGGCCUGGGGUUGGCUCUGGCCUGGGACUCCAGGAGUCGUCCUGCUCACUCUGCAGGGUGGUAGGGUGGCAAAAGGUACUGGCUAGACAGAGAGCCCUUCGAAGCCUUUAGCCAGGUAUCAGGCACCUUUCCUGUCUGCCCUGGCUGGGACUAACAAACGAGAAGGGUGUUAUACCUGGCAGAGACCAGGAGACAGGGACAGGCCAAGUCCUUGGGAGGCCUGGACUCCUAUGAUGAGGACUAGAGCUGGGGGUGGGGGUGGGGGUGUCCACCCAAAGAACUUCUAGAAAGCCAGGUGGAUCUGCUAGCCUCAGAAACCAAGUCCAGGACCUUGGAGAUGCCUGGUCUGGGAUGUGGGGGCUCUUGCUGGGCUCCAGGGAGCCCUGUGAUGUUCUUGCAUCUCCAGGUCUGAGCACAGCCCUGCUUAGACCUUCCAGCAGGUAUCCUGGUCAUUCUUCUCACUGCUGGCCAGUAGAGUGGUAAUAGACACUUGUGAAGUGAACAAGAAAACUGCUGAAGAUGAUUCCGAUUCCGCCGGCCCGGCCAGCCCCUGGGACAUCAGGGCACUUCCAAUUGUCCCUGUGCACAGAUGGCUUCCAGCAUGUGUGAAGCCCCGGGCAGAGGAAAUCAGCUUCAGGUCAGCCCCUCUCCCCGGGCCCCAAGUGCCUGGAACUCAUCAGGCGAUGUGAAACGGGGAGGGUGGGCAAGGCAGCCUGAGAUUCCUCCCGGGUCUGGGAGCUCUCUGGCCAUGCCCCGACUCUCUGCCUGCCACACUUCUGCGCCUUCUAUACCGCUUGAACCCCGCGUCCGGGUACCCUCAAACGGGCACCCCGCACCUCUACCCCUGGUCCUUCGCACCCUCGCCCCACGAAGCGGCCCGCACGCGUCCCUCCCCGCCUGCACCGCGCGCUCAGAGCCCUGAGUGUCCUGUGGUGCGUCCCGCAGCCCUAGGUGCCA
rnacentral:lncRNA from 1 species